GCUGCCAGCGUCACUUUCUAAGCCGGCCAGCAGUGAGCCUCCACAUCUCAUCUUUCAACUCACUCUCUGUCGUGCCUGAACUUCUCCUAAAAAUGAACUUCAGCAAAUCCAGCAUGCAGCAGAUACCAUCCAACCGCAUCUCCUUCACCCGCUCCACACCCCAGCACCGUGCUGCCAGUGUUUUUGGUGGUGCUGGUGGACAUGGGGCCCGCAUUUCCUCUGCCUCUGUCUCGUCUCUGCGAUCCGGCGCCCCAAUGACCUCUUCGUCCUCCUUCAAGCUGAGCAGCGGGAUGGGACCUGGUUUUGGUAGUGCAUCCAAGACCGCUGGUAGUAGUGUGAUCAUGGGCAACGAGAGGGGAGCCAUGCAGAACCUGAACGACCGCCUGGCCAACUACCUGGAGACAGUGAGGAACCUGGAGCAGGCUAACAAGGACCUGGAGGUGAAGAUCAGAGAGGCUCUGGAGAAGGGGGGGCCUGACAUGAGAGACUACAGCAAGUAUGAGCCCAUCAUUGACGACCUGCGCAGACAGAUCUACGACAAGAUUGCAGAGAACGCUCGUUUCGUCCUCCAGAUCGACAACGCCCGUCUUGCUGCUGACGACUUCAAAGUAAAGUUUGACAAUGAGCAGGCAAUCCGCCAGUCUGUGGAGGCCGACAUCGGCGGGCUGAAGAAAGUCAUAGAUGACACCAACAUGACCAGGAUGAACAUCGAGAGUGAGAUUGAAGCCGUGAGGGAGGAGCUCAGCUUCCUGAAGAAGAACCACGAAAAUGAGGUGAUGGAGCUGAGGAAUCAGAUCUCCCAGUCAGGCGUGCAAGUGGAUGUUGACGCUCCCAAAGGUCAGGACCUGUCCCAGAUCAUGGAGGAAGUGAGGGCCAACUAUGAGAAGAUGGCUUUGAAGAAUGCAGAGGACCUCAAACGUUGGCAUGAAAAUCAGAUUGCGGAUGUGCAGGUGCAGGUCUCACAGAACACAGAAGCUCUCCAGGCAGCCCAGAUGGAGAUCAGCGACUUAUCCAGACAGAUACAGACCCUAGAAAUUGAACUCGCAUCCCAACAGAGCUUAAAAGCCUCCUUAGAGGACACAUUAGGCAACACAGAGCUACGGAACAACAUGGAGAUGGAAAAGUACAACGGCAUUAUCAUCCAUCUGGAGGAAGAGCUGACCAAACUGCGCGCAAACAUCCAGCAGCAGACGCAAGACUACGAGGUGUUGCUCAACAUGAAGAUGAAACUGGAGGCGGAGAUUUCCACUUACAAGGGUCUGCUGGAUGGAGGAGACUUCAAGUAAGAGUUAUAAAGAGGUGGAGGAGAAAAACAGAUCGGGGCAUGGUGAUGAUGGUGGUAGAGGCUCCAGGACGCACUGGAUGAGCUGGCGGCCACAAUCUAAUUUGGAACAAAGAGCCCGGGACCAUCCCAACAAUGAAAGCAGAACAACCCACAACUAGAAAAAAAAAAAAAUCCAUGCUGGUCCAAUCAACCACAGCCAGUUUUGAAUCAAGACCACAUAGGGUGUAGACCACAUGAUUGAAGCGGUUCUGAAAACAGGCACUCGAAACAACAGGGCUGUUUCAUAAGCAACCACUGCCUGAUCUGACAGCAAAAUAAAAAUGAAUAAAACCACUUAUGACCCCCA